GUCCAUCUCUCUGUGUUCGGCUUCUGCACACUUACACGGUUACAUCUCUGGUACAUUGGCCGGGAAGCUCAUCGUCACGGUAGCUGAGACCGAGAUGUGAGACGGUAGAUCUUUACCAACGUUCUCCACGGCAGCACCCCUGGACUCCUGCGUGGACCUCCUUUCGUCUCGGCGCCACUGGCCUUUUGUCCAGGAGAUCAUCGGCUUCUGCGCAGUGAGUACCGGGGUGCCCCGUCGAUGAGUGUGAAGCCCAGGUUCAGGAACGAAGAGGUAAGACUGAUACCGUUAGAGCGGUAGGCCCACAAGGGGUUUUAUAUUUGCAAUUGGUUGUAAGGA